UACGUAGGGGGCAAGCGUUGUCCGGAAUCAUUGGGCGUAAAGCGCGUGUAGGCGGCUCGAUAAGUCUGCUGUGAAAGUCCAAGGCUCAACCUUGGGAUGCCGGUGGAUACUGUCGAGCUCGAGUCCGGAAGAGGAGUGUGGAAUUCCUGGUGUAGCGGUGAAAUGCGCAGAUAUCAGGAGGAACACCAAUGGCGAAGGCAGCACUCUGGGACGUGACUGACGCUGAGACGCGAAAGCAUGGGGAGCGAACAGG
rnacentral:rRNA from 1 species